AGGAGACAGGUGGUGCAUGGUUGUCGUCAGCUCGUGUCGUGAGAUGUUGGGUUAAGUCCCGCAACGAGCGCAACCCCUAUCCUCAGUAGCCAGCAUUUAAGGUGGGCACUCUGGGGAGACUGCCAGGGAUAACCUGGAGGAAGGCGGGGAUGACGUCAAAUCAUCAUGCCCCUUAUGAUUUGGGCUACACACGUGCUACAAUGGCGUAAACAAAGGGAAGCGAGAUUGUGAGAUGGAGCAAAUCCCAAAAAUAACGUCCCAGUUCGGACUGUAGUCUGCAACCCGACUACACGAAGCUGGAAUCGCUAGUAAUCGCGGAUCAGAAUGCCGCGGUGAAUACGUUCCCGGGUCUG
rnacentral:rRNA from 1 species